GAAUUAGUAACUUAAUUGGUAAAGGAUUUUCUUGUCACGAAAAUAGAUAUCGGUUCGAUGCCGGUCUAAUUCG